UACGAAGGGGGCUAGCGUUGCUCGGAAUCACUGGGCGUAAAGGGUGCGUAGGCGGGUUUUUAAGUCAGGGGUGAAAUCCCGAGGCUCAACCUCGGAACUGCCUUUGAUACUGGGGAUCUCGAGUCCGGAAGAGGUUGGUGGAACUCCGAGUGUAGAGGUGAAAUUCGUAGAUAUUCGGAAGAACACCAGUGGCGAAGGCGGCCAACUGGUCCGGUACUGACGCUGAGGUGCGAAAGCGUGGGGAGCAAACAGG
rnacentral:rRNA from 1 species